AGAAAUAAUAGGAGCAAUAAUCCAGCAGAAAAAUUUGGUGAAGAAGAACAAGAAAAGAAUACCUUUAUCCUGAUAGGCAUGGAAAUACCGGUUCGCAUUGAGUGCAUCAUCGCUAAUCAGCUACUAUAGAGCAACGGAUAUAGAAGAAAUAUGUAAACAAUUGUCCCUAGAAGAAAUAUGCAACAACUUAUUCAGUAGAGAGCAAGGGACAUAUAAGAAAUCUCCAGGCAGCUUCACUUAGAUGCAUCAUCUUCUGCUAGGACCUAGGAGUCAUCUUGAAGAACG